rnacentral:lncRNA from 1 species
CACAUUUGGAAGCAACCGGCACCCACGCAGGUUCUGGAACUUGCCAAGAAUCUUUCUGCCUGGAAUCUCAUUUCCCUACUCUGCCUGAUGAGCUCCUAUUCAUCCUUCAGAACCCAACUCAGGUAUGCCCUUCUCUGUAAAGUCUUCCCUAUCUGUCCCGCAUCCUAGCAGAGCACUUCCAAUCUUUUUUUUCCCCUAGGUUCCAGGGGUUGAGCCCACUCCAUCCUGUCCAAAGGCAGAAGCCUCCUCCAAGUCCUGCACGAUCCGCCCUCUAACAUGCAAGCCCAUCUGGAACCUCUGGAAUCCUACUGGGCUUCUUCGCUCCCUAAAGUUUACAGACCCAGGGCAAAAUAGGGAACUGCAAAUCCAAGUGGCCCAGAGGUCUCUCCACCCCCACUCUGCCCUCUCUGGGCCUGAGCCUGACAGGAGAUUCCCAGCACAUCUGGUUGUACUUAAAUCAUCCAGCACUACUGGAGUAGGUUCCCUGCUUCUCUCCCUUCAGCCCCAGCCUCCUCCCCUUCCUACACCAGCCUUCCAGGUCUCUCCUCCAGGAUGCCUUCCCUAACUCAUCCAGCCUCGGUAUCUGCACCCCACCCUUGAACCUCCACCUCUUUGGGUCUGGAGUCUGCCAGGGUGUGGAAGGGAGGGUGUGUGCUCCGCAAGACUCAGUGUGUAGAAUCUCAUCCUUCCCGAGCAUUGGUCCUAGAUAGAAACCUUCCCUUCAGGUAAGGAAGGGAGCCAGCCAAGAGCCUCCCCUCUGCUCCCUUGGCCUCAGGGGUGGCUGUCUCCAGUUAUGGGUGUGUACAGUGGGGAGGAACAAGUUCAGAUCCAGGCAGAGCCAUUCCUUUGGCAACUCUUGCUGUCAGCCAUCUUCCAAAGAGCUUUGCAAAAUGUUAAAGAACAAAAGAGAAAUAAAUACAGAGAAUAUAGCAAGUAUAAAAAUGCACAGUCUAGGCCAGGCACGGUGGCUCACACCUGUAAUCCUAGCACUUUGGGAGGCUGAGGCAGAUGGAUCACUUGAGGUCAGGAAUUUGAAACCAGCCUGGCCAAGAUGGUGAAACCCCAUCUCUACUAAAAAUACAAAAAUUAGCCAGGUGUGGUGGCGGGCACCUGUAGUCCCAGCUAUUUGGGAGGCUGAGGCAGAAGAAUUACUUGAACCCCGGAAGUGGAGGUUGUAGUGAGCCAAGAUCACACCACUGCACCCCAGCCUGGCUGACAAAGCAAGAUUCUGUCUCAAAAAAAAAAAAAAAAAAAAAAAAGAAUGCACGGACUCUAAAGAACAAGUUUGUAACCUACCAUGACCUGCUCCACCAGGGCUCCAGGUUUGAAUGUUCAUUCAUUCUUUUAUUCAAUAGCAUGUACUGAUGCCUGAGUCUACUAAGUUCUAGGAACAGUGACUCAAGUAAGAUCCCAGGGUCAGUGGGGGACAGGAACAGGUGGAUGAACAAAUGCUGCAUGCUGUAAUGGACAUGAGUCAGGGAGACAGAGGGGUGCCAAGGUUGAAGGUCAGAGACCCUGGACUGAAUCCCACCUCUGUCACUUUCUGCACUGUCUCUGGGGAGCCACUUAAUCUUGGGGAGCCUGUCUCCCCACCUGGAAAAGGACGAUGAUGUGACCUCACAGGGUCGUAGUGGGACUCAAAUAAGAUAAUGUGUGUGAAAACGCCUUGCAAAGUGCUAAGUGAGUUGUUGCUAUUAUGAUUAGGCUCAGGGGCUGCCUAUCUGACACUCAUUUUUCUAAUGCCUCAACAGCUGUCUCUCUUACCCUCCCAGGGCAGGUACCACGUUGGAGAAACUUCUGAGGGUGAAGGACACCCACCCUAGAGUAGUGGGCAGUUAAGCUGCCCGCAUAGACACACACACACACACUUUAGUUACACAAGCAGAACACCUUUUUAUAAAAAUUCGAAAGGCAUCAUGUGCCUACAGCCUCAGUUACUCAGGAGGCCGAGGCAAGAGGAUUGCA